UUGGUUCAUCAUAUUUUAUGUUUUUAAUGGUUAACUUUAUAUAACUUGUUGGGUGCAUGAUCUGUGCUCUUUGACUGUAGCUGGAGGUUGUCCAGCCAAUGGAAGCAUUAAAACAACUAUCUGUGAUUUCACUAUCACUAAUGAUUAAUAUUAACUCAAAGGCACUGCAAGAACAAUGAAUAUUAUCCAUUUGAUUGAAAACUUUGAGAAUUUCAAAAAACUACUGAAGCCUGGUAUCGUGAGUUGGGGAACAUCAUCCAGAAACAUGCGCAGACUAAUGUUUUCUCUGUGGUACGGAGCUACUGUGGUCACGGCAUUCACAAACUGUGAGUAAAAUCCUUUCAUAAAGACACAUUCUGAAUGAUACAAGCAUUGCACAAUGUGAUGUAAUCAGACCUGCAGAGAUUGCAAACACUCACAAAACUGGCACUGUCCAUGUUUUAUUAAUCUAGAAAUUAUGUGGUGAAAAAGGGGUGACAUGAGGACUGUGAGGUGUGGCAAUACCAAAGCAAGUGUCUUUGAUACAGUUCUUGUGGAUUUUUGGCAUGACAUACUCAUUCAUGUCCAUGAAUAUGUGAAAAUGGUUGCAUUUGCUCAGAGGGACCACAAAUUAAUCACCUUACUGUUUUUAAAGUAUCAAACUGUAUGAGGUUUGCUGUCUUAGUCUACUUCGGUGUGUUUGUAUGCCUGGCGCAACACUGUGUUUGUUUGGUACAAACUCUCUAAAUCUUAUCAUGUCAUGACUUGUAUAUGAAAACUCUUCAAAGCUGAAAGAGUGCCUUGUAACGUUAUUGAACAUUGUACAAAUGUUUUUCAUGAACUUCUUCCAGCAUUCAUAAGGUCCAAUUAAAUUGAUCUUUGAGUGAGAAUGUGUCUGUGAACACCUAGAGGAAACAUUAGGUUGAGUACAAAUGGUUUAAUUAUUUUCUUAUAAUUGCCGCUUAAAGAGCAAUGUAAAAGCCUGAAAAGCAGUUACAGACUUGAUGGUUUGAUGCAGUUCAUUUCAGUGUUUCAGUUUGCAAGCUGAAUUAAAGUACGUUUUCUCUUUUACUUUAGCCUAUUUUAACGAUUUAAAAUGAAGGCUGAAUCUCCUGCAAUCGUCUCAAAGAAAUUGAAAUGGGUCAUAAAAUGUGAGAUAAAAUUCAGCGCAUAGACUGUAAAAAAAAAUAUGGGCGACGCAACUCCACUUUCUUCCACUGUAGAAAAGUGAAGCCGCUGUAGUGACAAAUUGGGUCCCCCCCUGAAAUCGGGUCUCUUUUAGGACUCCCAGCAAUCCCAUUGGUUCAUAUUGCUUUUUAAUAAGUACUCUGAGUACACACAUUUGCACUUACCCUACAUAUAUUUUCAAUCAUCUUUAAUAUAAUUAUGUGUUAAAUGUCCAAAUAUUUAAGUUAUAUAUAUAUUAAAAAAAUUAUUAUGUUUAAUUAUUCACUUAAUAGGCUACCAUUAUUAUUAGGCUAUUUAUUAAUUAACAGUUAAUUCAGAUGUAAGAAAUUACAUUCAGUUGGUUUUAUUAUGCAUUAAUGUGUUUUCGUACGCAUUAUAUAGUAAGCUAUGCGUAUUUUAAAUUUAUAUCAUUCGUAUAUACAUAGGAUAAUCAUUAACUGACAGUUUGAGGAUACCUGAUUUCGAGGGAGGACCCGAUUUGUCAUGACACCGCCAUUGUCCCAAUAUGGCGCUGACAUCUUGUGCUGAUUUGGGACCUGAGUCUGCGCAGUAGUAAGCAUGAAGUGGAGUCGUGCACUAUCAAGGCCUCACCCACACUCCCGCAGAAUAGUUUAGUACAGUUUACUGCAGAACAACUCAUUAUAUUGGUGUGAAAUAAACAGUUAUGGAAAUGUAGAAGUUAAAGAUAAAGCUCCAAUCUCCUCCCGAAAAUCCCCAAAAAAGUCAGUUGGUGCCUCAGUGACUACUUCACUCAGAGAAGCUGUCAAUCACAGCUGUCAAUCAUGACAUCACACCCCCGUUUUUAUAGCAUCAACUAACUAACUAAAACCAAACUUAUUAAAAAAAACAAACAAACACUUGAACUUACAUCAGCUUACAUCUUUGGGGAAAAAAAUAUUUGAAGUGUAAUUUAAUUGUUUAGUUUGUCUCACGUCCCAUUACAUUACAUGGAGACGGCGGGGUUUAUGACCUACACUGGGACCAACCACCUGGGGGCGAUCGAGACACUUUGGCUUCACUUUUCAAGACUUGUGCGGCAUGUUUGAUUCUAAUGUCAUCCAAGCAGUUCAUAUGUAUUACUAUUGAAUUAUUGCUGCGGCUUUUCACAUCAUUUAACUUUUAGCCAGACAGAACUGAAUAACAAGAUUCAUACCUUUAGUUUCAUCUAAACCUUUCAGAAUUAGUUUCAGUAUGAUAAACUGGCAUUGUGCAUGUGUGCAUAAGGUCUGAGCAAACAAUUUCCAUCAGUUUGUCUUUUUGUAGAAGAGUCUGGAAAAAUGGUUUCUACAAGUUGAGACUGAAUUGACCACCCUAGACAUAUCUGAAGAAAUCAUCUGAGAAAGACAUUCUGUAAAGUAUUUAUUGUGUUUAUCAGUGUUUGGAUCAGUUUGGCAGGUUAUAACUUCAAGCUCCAGCUGCAAAUUUUUUGGUGCUUCCCAGCUUUCCCAUGAUGGUUAUGUAAGCAAGACAAAUGCUGGAGAGUCUGGCUCAGAGGAGAGAAAUAAACUAUAUUGACAGCAUCAUGAAUUGGUUAUACAAAACCACUUGAAUGAUUUAUAUGCUUGUCUCUUUUUUUUAUUUGCCACAGAUAACAUUUUCUUGCAAAACUUCUCAGAACUAUUUUGCCUUGCAGAUGAAUUUAACAGUUUUUGAUGCUAAACAUCAACGUUUACAUGCACUUGUGACUCACUUCAUAAAGCAGAGGGCUGGAAUAUGCUAUUAAAGAGAAUCCUUGAAGCUGUUACUUGAAGCUGGUUACCCAGCUGUAACAAAGUGGGAGAAGAAAAUUAAAAGGAAUAUAACUGUGGC